AAGGAAGGAUAAAAAUCAAUAAGUGCUGCUAAUACUUAUGCCCCGAGGUUAAAAUCCUCGGCUUCCUUA
rnacentral:tRNA from 1 species